ACAUGCAAGUCGAACGAGCGAGAGAGAGCUUGCUUUCUCGAGCGAGUGGCGAACGGGUGAGUAACGCGUGAGGAACCUGCCUCAAAGAGGGGGACAACAGUUGGAAACGACUGCUAAUACCGCAUAAGCCCACGGUGCCGCAUGGCACAGAGGGAAAAGGAGCAAUCCGCUUUGAGAUGGCCUCGCGUCCGAUUAGCUAGUUGGUGAGGUAACGGCCCACCAAGGCGACGAUCGGUAGCCGGACUGAGAGGUUGAACGGCCACAUUGGGACUGAGACACGGCCCAGACUCCUACGGGAGGCAGCAGUGGGGAAUAUUGCACAAUGGGGGAAACCCUGAUGCAGCGACGCCGCGUGGAGGAAGAAGGUCUUCGGAUUGUAAACUCCUGUUGUUGAGGAAGAUAAUGACGGUACUCAACAAGGAAGUGACGGCUAACUACGUGCCAGCAGCCGCGGUAAAACGUAGGUCACAAGCGUUGUCCGGAAUUACUGGGUGUAAAGGGAGCGC
rnacentral:rRNA from 1 species